ensembl:lncRNA
AAAAAAAUCUAUAAACACAGAUAUAAAAAGCUACUGUUGCCUCUGUUCAAGUUCCCAUCACAUGUGACCUGAUUUUCUUAUCUUCUGUGAUGUCUGGACCCUUAUUUCCCAGAGAAAGCCAAGGCGAAUUGCUUUCAGGAGUCUCUAUCUCUGUCUGCAAACCAAACCCAGUUUGCCCAUUAGGCAGACAUCUGGUGUGGAGACCACGGCAAAACUUCCUCAUGGAGCCUCAAUCUGAGUGGAAGGCCAAGCUGUACUUGGUCAGAAUUCAUCUGGAGAUCAAGAGAUUAAUAAAUGAUAAAUCCUGAUGAAACAAACAAAGCACAGUAGAAAUUCUGACUCCUCUUAAAGGAAAUAACACAAAGUGGAAAAUAAAAGGUAAGAUAAAAAUGCACACGAUUCUGACCUGUCAGUGAAGCUUAAAUAAAUAUGGAAAUUUAGAAAAAUGAAAAUAAAGUAAUGAUGGAUUUUUCCUUCUGGUAAUGGAAGAGUUGGUUACAAACUCUUGAAGGUUUGAGACACCAGUGAGAAGACUAUUGAGUGUUUUUCCCCUCAAGGCAUUUGUCAAGUAUCCAGGACAAAAGAGAACCCAAGGGGAAAUCAGUGGAUAAGAGGUUAGGAAACUUAGCAGAACUUUUAGCAGUCUCAUGGGAAUGGAGUAACAAAAAUAUACUUCAGGACCCACAAGUUGGAGAGUUCUUGGUGAACACCUCAGACUACUAGUUUAGACCAAGGAGGACUAUAUUUUAGGAAUCAGAACAAUCAAAACUAGAUCUAGUGUCACAAAACUCUAAAAUCCAAACUGGAAACAACUCAGACCUAAACUCUAAUUGCCUGUUCCCAGAAAAAAGUAAAUCUUCUCUUGAGAAUGGCAACCUGAGACAGAUCCUAAAAAUAUCUAUAUGCUUCUUUAUAAUGAUGUCUGGCAUUCAGUCAAAAAUUAUUAGAUAUGCUAGGAGAAAGUACCAAAUGACAGCAAACAAGGUCAGAAAAUGCCCAAUACAGAUUAUUCAAUUAUCCAGAUAUUAUAGUUAGCAAGUACAAAAUAUAAAAUAACUAUUAAUAAUAUGUUCAAGAUAAUAACAGACAAGAUGGAAAAUUUCAUCAGAAACUGGAAUCUAUAAGAAGCCAAAUGAAAGUUCUACCUCUGAAAAAAAAAAUAAAAAAUUUACAACUUAAUAGAUGGAUUUAAAAUAGAUUGGACAUAACAGGAGAAACAAUGAGUAAACUCAAGAUAGAACAAGAGAAGCACCAGAGAAAAAAGCAAGGAUAUAAGAGACAUAGAAUACUGUGAAAAGCUAUGAUAUACAGGUGAUUGGAGAAAAACGGAGGGAGAAAAGUAGUAUAUUGACAAAGAUAUUUGUGAAACUGAUAUUUUAAAAAAUCAGACCACCAAAGCAUAAAGCUCUCUAUAUUCCCAAGGAGAUCAAUCACAAGGAAAGUCACAUUUAGCUCUAUCAUAGUAGAAUUUUUAGGGACCAAAGACAGAAGAAAAAAAAAAUCUCAGUUAGGCAAGGUGGCAUGAGCCAGUCCCAGCUACUGAGGAGGCUGAGGUAGGAGAGGAUCACUUGAGGCUAGAAGCCAAGAGUCGGGUCCAGCCUGGGCAACAUAGCAAGAGCUCAUCUCUAAAAAUAAAAAUAAAAACAUAAAAACUCAUCAGCAGCAAAAGGAAAAAACAAACAAUGAAAUGGAAGACAGAAAACAAUGAAAACUAGCAUUGAAAACAAUGGGUGUGGCAGAAUAACUGCCAACAUAGAAUUCUGUGCCCAGUAAAAAUAUCCCGGCCGGGCGCGGUGGCUCAAGCCUGUAAUCCCAGCACUUUGGGAGGCCGAGGCUGGUGGAUCACGAGGUCAGGAGAUCAAGACUAUCCUGGCUAACAUGGUGAAACCCCGUCUCUACUAAAAAUACAAAAAACUAGCCGGGCGUGGUAGCAGGCGCCUGUAGUCCCAGCUACUUGGGAGGCUGAGGUGGGAGAAUGGCGUGAACCCGGGAGGUGGAGCUUGCAGUGAGCUGAGAUCAUGCCACUCCACUCCAGCCUGAGAGACACAGCGAGACUCCAUCUCAAAAAAAAAAAAAAAAAAAAAAAAAAAAGUGUUUUCAAACAACCAAAACCCAAACCAGGGGAUGUUUUUUUACCAGUAGAUUUAUACUAAAAGAACUAUGAAAGUAAGUAAUUUAGGCUGGAAGAAAAUGCUCCCAGAUGGAAACAUGGAAAAUCAGGAAUAAAUGAAGAGAAACUGGAAGAGAAAAUAUGUGAAUCAGUAUAUAGGAAUGACUUUAGUAAAGUUUCAGCCUACAAAAUAAAUGUACAAAAAUCAGUAGUACUUCUGUAUACCAAUAAUGUUCUUGCCAAGUGUCAAAUCAAGAACAUAAUCCUAACCAGGCACAA